rnacentral:lncRNA from 1 species
CAGGGGUGGUGUUCUCGAAAGUAUCCUAAGAUUCGUCCUAAGUCAUAGAUAAGAUCAAUUUUAGGAUGGACUUAGGAUCGACUUAGGACACUCUUAAGUUGUGUCUCGAAGCUAUCUCAAACACAUCUUAUGUUAAGACGUCCUAAACAUAUCCUAUGUGCGAAAUUCUAAAUAGUUAAAGUAAUUGUUUGAUAAAACAUUUAGUAAAGACGAAACCAUAUGAUAAAAUUGUUUGCGAAAUUUUGUAAUAACAUGUAUUUGAUAAAAUGCAUGAUUUCAAAUGCAAUUAUAAAAUGAUAUCAAAAAAGGAUCGUGAUUUAAACUGGAAAACAAUUUGUUUUAAAAUGAGAAUAAUGAAUUCGUAGUGUCAUCGUAUCGUAAAACACGAAGUUCAAAGUUUAAAAUCAUGCACAAUUUCUGUAUACGAGUUAAUAACCGAUGAUGCGUUUCAUUUCAUGUUCAUCUUCACGUAAAAAAUUGAGAAAA